AUGACUUGCCUAGCACAGGCCUAGUAUAUAGGAGAUAUCCAGUAAAUGUUAAAUUUUUCCCUCCCUCUUUCUACUCUUCUCUGUCUUCUUAAGUAGCAAGAGUGGGACUUCCCUGGUGGCCCAGUGGUUAAGAAUCCGUCUUGCAAUGCAAGGGAUGCCCGUUUGAUCCCUGGUUGGGGAACUAAGAUCCCACAUGCCGUGGGGCAACUAAGCCCGGGUGCUGCAACUACUGAGCCCGUGCACUCUGGAGCCCAUUGGCCACAACUAGAGAGAAGCUUGCCCACUGCAACGAAAAAUCCCAUGUGCCCCAACUAAGACCUGACACAGCCAAUAAAUAAAUAAACAAAUAUUUAAUAAAUAGCAAGAGUGACAUACGUGGUUCUUAAUAUCAUUACUAUUCCAGUACAUUUGAAAGUCCCUCCUCUCUCCCAUCUUAGGUGCUAUAGGGAAGUCACAUUCAAAGUCAAUUAUACUGAGCAGUCGUUCUUGAGUCUGGUUCCAGAAGCAGCAGCGGCAGCAUACCCUGGGAACCUACUUGAAAUGCAGAUUUUCAGGCCCUACCUCACAAUUCUGACUCUGGGGCCGGGCCCAGCCAUCCAUGGUUCAUCAAGUCCUCCAGCUGAUGUGGGUGCACGCUCAGUUUGAGAACCGCUGGUCUAUGUUUAAAAGCACAGGCUCUGCAGCCAGAUUGCAUGGGUUCCUUGCUAAACCCCACUGACACCCUCCAAAGGUGUUCUAUAACAGGCAGAAGAAAAAUCUAGACUUUUUACUGAGAGCUUUAAACCCCCAAAAGGUUUUGUCCUCGGCUAAUUUUUCCAACUCCGUCUCCUACCACCACUCUCCCCUGGAUGCAUCCCACUAUAGCCACCAUGGCCCUUUUCUUGUCCCUUGAACACACCAAACCCACUGCAGCCUUGGGAUUCUGUUUCUGUCUUCUUUGCCUGGAAUACGCCUCCUCACUUUGCUCCCCCGUUUUUCUAGACCUCUGCUGGAAUGUCACCUGUUCAGAAAGGUAUGUCAGCUAUUUUUACUUUCUUUUCCUUUAACCGUCCUUUAAGCGGUAGAUCUUUUCAGGACAAAUUCUUUUAGUUUUUCUUCAUACGAGAAUGUCCUUUUUCCUCCAUUCCUGAAUGAUGGUUUUGCCAGAUACAGAAUUUAACAGUUGUUUUCAUUCAGCACUUAGAGAAAUGUCAUGUACUACUCUCUUCUGGCCUCCAUGGUUACAAACAAGAAAGAAGUGCGUUGUUAUGUGAAUUGGUGUUCCUCUGUAGGUAAUGUGUUGUUUCUAGCUGCUUUCAAGUUUGUUUCUUUGUCUUUAGUUUUCAGAAUUUUAAUUGAGAAUGUGUCUUGCCGUGGAUUUUCUUGGCUUUAUCCUGUUCAGGAUUUUCUCAGCUUCUUGAACCUGUCUUUUGCCAAAUUUGGGGAGUUUUUAGCUAUUACUUCUUCAGAACCUCAUCCCCAUUCUCUCUCUUCGUUCCUCAGACUCUGAUGACAUACAUGUUGCUCUUUGGUUAUGGUCCCAAAGGUCCCUGAGGCUUUGUUAAUUUUUGUUCAGAUUAUUAAAUUCUCUUGUUCUGUCCUCAAGUUCGCUGAUUUGGUCCCCUGUCAUUUCCAUCUGCCGCUGAACCCUUCCAGUAGGUACACAUGGAACAGGAUUCGGAACUCCAUGAAAGAGCUGGUGUCCAGAGAGUUGAUGUCCCACAGCCUAUGGCCUGAUAGGCAUAGCAGUUGGAGCUGGACAGAGGAUAAAGUGUGUGUAAGAUGUUUGACCUCAAGAUUAUGAUUGCCAUUGGUGGCGGCUUACUGAUGACCGCAUUUGUGCUGAUAGGUGUUGUCAUCUGUCUUUACUUCCAAGUAGCUGACACAUUAAAGAGGUCCUGGUAAGAAAUGUGGAACUGACAUUCCUUACCCACCCACCCACAGGAAGAAUUCGGGAAAGGUCAAAAGGAGAGAGGAGACGCCAGUCCAUAUGUCUUACCAGCCUCCCAGAAUCUUUCUCGCUGGAAUCCAUCUCGGCUGAGCGAUGCGCGCGCCACCAGGAAGGACCCUGAGUCAGACCAGAUACGUGCCAAGCAAAAUGAUUGGCCAGAGACCACCCCGAAACUAACCCCAUCACCAUAAACCCUGAGACUGCGAGCCACGUGGCAGAGCAGUUCUCCUGGGUUCCCUUACCCUGCCGCUCUCUGCCCGGGCGCCCCUUCCCAACAAAGUCUCCUGCGCUGUCAGCACGUGUGUCUCCUCGGACUAUCCAUUUCCAAGUGUUAGACAAGACCCCACUCUCGGGCCCUGGAAGGGGUCCUCCUUCCUGCAACAGAUCCAACACUCCCACGCGAACAUUCCUCCAUCUAAAUCUCCUGCAGCUCUGAGUUAGCACGUCUGGCUUUGGCUCCACCUCGCUUACCCUUGUGUGUGGCAUAUAAUUCCUCCAAGCCCCAUUUUCCUUGUCUGUAAAAUGGAGGUAAUAGGACCCACUUGAUAAGAUUGUUCUGAAGAUUCGAUGGGAUGUUGAAGAGGAAAGAUCUUAAUUUAGAGACAAAUACGGUAAAAAUAUAAGUUUCUCCUGAGAGGAUAAGCCUCCAAGCAAUACAGUGCUUACCACUAAGACCGAAUUUGCAAUAACUUUCAGAGCAGUCUUUUUCUCAGGCUUCUAAAGUAUAUUUUCUUGAAAAUAAGA